GGUCUUUAGUUUUUUAUUUAAGAUCAGGCCUGCCCAUUGAUUUGAAAUAUUAAAAGGCUGCGGUAUUUUAACUGUACGAAGGUAGCAUAAUCAUUUGUCUUUUAAUUGGAGGCUAGAAUGAAUGGUUUGAUGAGAAAUAUUCUUUCUUUUUCUAAUUUAUAUUAAUUUAAUUUUUUAGUUAAAAAGCUAAAAUUUUUUUAUAGGACGAGAAGACCCUAUAGAAGUUUACUAUAUUAAUAAUUUUUUAUCUUUUGCUUUUGAUAUAUUUUUUUAAAUUGUAUAGUUUUGUUGGGGUGACAUUAAAAUUAUUUUAACUUUUAAUAUUCUUUCCAUUAAUUUAUGUUUUUUUGAUCCAGUUUUAUUGAUUAAAAGUUUAACUUACCUUAGGGAUAACAGCGUAAUUUUUUCGGAGAGUUCUUAUUGAUGAAUAAAGUUUGCGA
rnacentral:rRNA from 1 species